rnacentral:misc_RNA from 1 species
ACAACCACCUCGAAUCCGCCUUUUCUUUGUGAGGGGGGAGAAAUCGGUGUUGGUGGCGGAGGAACGAGUUUGUUGGGCUUGCCCACUAUAUGUUUGGCAAAUCUCUCCUCCCCGCUGAAAUUUGGCGGUGGGAUAUUUGGGUUUGGUGGGAUUUUGAGGGGAUAUGAUGACUGAUAAUCUUCUUCCCCUCACUUUCUUAACCCAGUCACAGUCCCCCAAUAUAUAUAUAAUAUCAAA